rnacentral:rRNA from 1 species
CUCCAAUAGCGUAUAUUAAAGUUGUUGCAGUUAAAAAGCCCGUAGUUGAACUUCAGACCUGGUGGGGUGGUCCGCUUAACGGCGUGUACUGCUCUGCUGGGCCUUACCUCUUGGUGAGCCGGCGUGGCCUUCACUGGUUGCGUCGGGGAACCAGGACUUUUACCUUGAGAAAAUUAGAGUGUUCAAAGCAGGCCUAUGCCUGAAUACAUUAGCAUGGAAUAAUAAAAUAGGACGUGCGGUUCUAUUUUGUUGGUUUCUAGAGUCGCCGUAAUGAUUAAUAGGGAUAGUUGGGGGCAUUGGUAUUGAGUCGCUAGAGGUGAAAUUCUUGGAUUGACUCAAGACCGACUACUGCGAAAGCAUUUGCCAAGGAUGUUUUCAUUAAUCAAGGACGAAGGUUAGGGGAUCGAAAACGAUCAGAUACCGUUGUAGUCUUAACAG